rnacentral:lncRNA from 1 species
UUUCAUCAAUUAAUCGGUCAAAAGUGACCGACUAAGACUGUAAUGUGGAUCUGAAGGGGUAUUUAAGUAUUUUCCUUUUUAUCUUCUCCAAGCUAAGCAAUGAACAUUGCAAUGUUUAUUGUUUUGUCUGUAAUGUGCUGAUUUUCCCGGUGAUCGGGUUCAUGCUCUGUCGAAAAUGGCGAUUUGCGGCUACGAGGAGGGAAGAGAUCAAGCGGCUUUUGGUUUUGGCAUAGGAGGAAUCAGCUAGAGCUGAGCUCGAGGCUACGAUCAAGUACGAGGCGACGACUGCGGUGUCUAUUUUGCAGCAAAUGCAGUAUCAAUUGCAGUAUUGUGGUUUACUCCUAAAAGGUAUUCUUUUUCUUUUUCAAGUCACCUUUUUGUUGCUGAGAAAAUAAUGGGAAAGUUAAAGAUCAGAGAUCGGAGAUUUGGAUUUGAAUUUGUAUUUUAGGCGUUAUUUCUCAUCUGGGUUAACAAAAGGUAAAAUCUUUACUCCUAUCCGAUGUGGGUUUUCAGAAAUCAAGCAUUGGAACAUAAUCGGUUGACUUUCCCGCUUUUAAUUUUGGGUUGUUGGAGCAAUGGAAGACAGAGAGAUUAACGUGUUUUUUAUUCAAUAGUGAAUUCUGUUGAAGUGUAUGGC